UAUCAGGUUUCAUGUAAUGUAUAUCUUAUUUUGUUGUGUGAUUUUAACCUGCAGUUUUUCUGCCUACACCUUAACUGGUGAAACAUGAUAAGAGUCAAACGUGCUGUGUAAGCAUCAAUCCAUCGUUUCCUGCUCCGUGUGCAAUUUCAUCACACCUCUAGCUCUGUAUUCCUUUCCAACUAGGCUGUGGACAUGGCAAGGUCUGGCUCUGACUCUUAGUCAUCUCUGUUUUCCAAGCUCCAGAAUAUGAAGAGUGCCCUGAUUUUCUGGGCAUGCCAGGCCAGAAAUACGUGAAAACCCAAAGGCGACAAAGGAGGCCAUAACUUUUACUGAGAUGAAAAGAUGGAAAAUGCUGAAGAAAGGCCAUCUUUAAAUAGACUGAUUGUGCCGAUAAAAUUUUCGGGUUCUUUCAGGAUUUGGAUGUCAAAAGUGAACUCCAAGCUGUGUAAAAUGUCAAAGUGCUCACCCUCCCCCACAAUCAAACAAAGAGAAUAUAGAAAAAGUGGUGUAAGAGUGUUGGUAAAACAUAAUGCCGUAUAAUCAUUCACCCAAGAGGCAACCAGAAAGUUGGCUUUGCUGGGCAAAUUGAGGCAAUGAAAAGCCUGAUGAGGGAAAUGCCACUACCAUUAAAAUUCAGCUGUAGGAGUAUAUGAAUUUGCCUGCUACGCUUUCAGAACCUUUUUUGUAUUUCCUUAGCUUUGGAUUUUUUUUUAACCUGUCACAUUGCCAUGUGUUUAAGGGGAACCGUUUCUUGCUUUGUAGAUACCAUUUGGAUCUUUCUCCCCUGGCCUGCCUUGAUAGCCACCACAUUUCCUACUUUACUGUUUUCUAAUUAACUGGGGCAUUUCUUUGGUUUUUAAAGCACCUCCACCUUUCAAAAUAUGUAAUUUGAAAAACUAUCCCCUUGAUUUUUAGGUAUAUAAUUCUAGUUCCAAUGACUGUUAUGAUGUCCAACUAGUCCAAUGUGUCUUGAGCCUCGAUGCUGGAAUGCUUCUUGACUCACUUCCAAACUGAAGUGCUUAAAAAAAUGUGAAGCACCACAACAAUUUAAAAUUUCUCUCUACUCUGCACAUGGUGAUUUAAAAUAAUUGAAGCUCUUCAGAUUUUUAUAUGCCCUAGAUUUGGAAGUGAUCAGCUAUGAGCAUGUGCGGUAUACAAUGAUUUACAUUAUUAGAGCCCCUCAAAUUUAUCAUGAUUGUUUCAGGUUAAGAGUGAUAGGGGAACCUGGACUUUGGCAGUUGAAAGUGAUAUAAAAUUAUCAUGACACUCUGAUGUUUGAGAGGUGAUCAGAAUUCUGGACACUAGUGUACAUUUUAACUCAUUGUUAAAAUAGACUUUUUUUUUUUUAAUUCAAAAGAUCUUAGCCCACCAGCAGCAUUUAAAUUAACCAUUAAAAAUGCACCAUAGAAUGAUUUUACUUUCACUGCCAUAGUCCCCAGUGAUGACCUGAAUAUUAUCAUGAUCUUAAAGCCAAAUGCUCAGAUUUGGCAAGGAAAUGAACUGUUGUUUUCCAGCCCAUGCAUGGGAAAGAAAUGUGUUCAGUAAAACCAACCUGUUGUGCUCUGGUGAAAAGCUGUCAAGUCUUUUAGUUUAUCCUUAUUUUAAAAUUAUACAGUUUUUGCUUUAGACCAUGGAGGUUUUUGAGCUGUGCUCUAAAUCAUUGCUUUUAAUACAUGGUCAAAUUUGUUUUUUAGUUAAAUUUUCAAAUAAAGUGCUUCUAUCAAAUAUUAUAUCACUUAAAAUUCAUAUUAUAUCAUUUCUGAGAUAAAAUAUAAGCAUUCAUUUUUAAGCUGUUUGCUUUGGUGGAUAUUAAACAAAAUGCAAAGGUAUAUAAUUAUGAAAUGUACAAGAUAGAAUCCUCAGAUGAUUUAUUUAGUCAUUUGAAGUUCAUUCAGCAUUCCUCAUAUUUUUACCAAAAGUUAUUCUCUGAGUGGGACCAUUUAAACUUGCUGAGUCCCCUGAUGCCAAGAUUCUAAUAUGUAAGGUAGAUUUAUGGUUCAAAAGUUAAUAUUCUAUAAGAUGAAAUCCAGUCAUUAAGAAGUCAGUUAAAAUUCUUAACAUGUUUUAUUUGUACCUUUGAAAGCCACAUGGAUGCUUUUCAUGUGAUUUAAAUGAAAGUGACAAAGGUGAAAUUCCAGCAUAUUUCUCAGUCACUUCCCUUUCUCAGUAAAUAUUUUCACUUUGAUUAAAACUGGGAUAAGUUGAUAUGGGUUUGAAUUUUUUUUUUUUUUUUUUCCUUUUUUUAAUUUACCAAAACCUGGAGUUUGAAAGAUUCUGGUCUGUGAAAACCCUCUGAACUUAUAUGCUAACUUUCUGAAUCUCCACAUUAAAGCAGAAAUUUGAAAGGAUUAGAAACACAAAAUGCUAAUAAUAGAAAAUAUGGUGUGUUUGGAAUUGUUGUAACCUCAGGGAUUUAGGGCCCUGAACAUGUAAAGUCCUACAUUUGUCAUAGUGGUCACCCUUUGCCCUCAAAUUUAUUAUUAGUUUUUAAAGUGAAGAAUUUCUUUAUGUUGAUAUAUUUUUUGUCUCUGCUAUUGCAUUGUUCUUUAGUGAUGAGUUUCGACAGGUAAAAGAGAGCUAAGAAAGUUUGUUUAAUUAUUUGUGACUGAACUAAAUUAACAUGUCAUGGUUUAAGUGUUAUGCUAUUAAAGAAUCAAAUUGAGCUUUAUAUAAGUCACAGGUAGUAUGAGCACAAUUAUAUCAAGAUAGCCUUUGUUGAACACCCAAGAAUGCUUAGAAAUGAACUAGUUCUAAGCAUGGUUACACCAAAAUAAAGUUCUUGUUUGAAUACUUUGGAAUAAGAAAGGUUAUUUGGAAAGACUAAAGUUUGUGUUUGAACUCUAAAAAGUUCAAUAGUGUUUGUUCAAUAAACCGAUUCAA